UUAGCUAGAAUUAAAAUCCUCAAUUUCUUCAUUUGUUAUGAGUUCAGAGAAUGUUAAUCUUUUUAAAGGCAGGUAAAAGCAUAGACCACAUAGGUAUAAUCAAGUGAAUAUUUAGACGUGAAUUCCUCCUACACCACUCAUGCCAACAUAAUAAUAACUUCCAUGUUUUUCCAAUGGCAGGAUAUCUCAGAAUGAUGAGUGAUCACUAUUUGUUUAAUGUCUUAUCUAAAAGUAAACCAAAAGCAUAGCUGUAAAAGGAAAAGGAAAAUAAAACUAGUUUAUAUUUAAUACAAGUUCCUUGGAAACAGAAUUCAGAACAAGCCAUUCUUAAUGUACCCAAUGUUCUCAGCUGUUUCCUUUCAUCUUGUCUCCAGUCAAUACCCCUACCUUCAUUUCAGAAACUUUAUUAAUUUAACGCACCAAGCAUGGAUCAAGAAGAAAGAUGGAUAAGUGUGGACAAGAAAAUAAAUUUUCUGGAAUACCAAGCUAAAGGAUGGUGAUGGAUGGAGCCAUACCUUCCAACUACAGAGUAAUCU
rnacentral:lncRNA from 1 species